AACGGUCUAUACCUGCGGUACCUGCGGAAGGAUCAUUACCGAGUUUACAACUCCCAAACCCCUGUGAACAUACCACUUGUUGCCUCGGCGGAUCAGCCCGCUCCCGGUAAAACGGGACGGCCCGCCAGAGGACCCCUAAACUCUGUUUCUAUAUGUAACUUCUGAGUAAAACCAUAAAUAAAUCAAAACUUUCAACAACGGAUCUCU
rnacentral:misc_RNA from 1 species